GAGAGCAGAAGCACCAUGGUGAUUGGGCAGUAGGGAUUCCAUAUGCAGAUAGGGAGGAGAAGCCUGUGGCAUCAUGGUAACUGGGCAGUGGGGAUUCCAUAUACAGAUAAGGAGAAGGAGCAUGUGAUGGUCAAGGUUAGUUGUGUCAGGCCUUUGUUCAAAGACUUGGAAGAGGAGUAGGAGGUAGUGAAUUUACCUGAGGAUCCCAAGGGUGAGUGAGGAGGCACUCAAGGAGGACUUGUUGCAAGAGGCAGAGCAGAGUGAUGAAUCCCAGGAGGAACUCUAGCUGCUGGUGUUAUUUCCCAGGACACACAGGCAUGAGAAGCGGCGUGACCAAACCAGGCAGCUGAGAUGCAGCAGUCACUUGCAGUGUGCAUGAGACUAAUUGAAGGCAGCUGACUGGGUGGAACACUGAUUGAUUCCAGCUGGCAACCUGCUAUAAAUCCUGUAGCUUCACUCUGCUGCGCUGUGGGAGACAACUUGCCAAACAGCCUUGAUACUGCCCUCCAUGAUGCCUUGGAUUUGGGAUCUCUGGAAUCUGAUGCUGGAUGAAAACCUUGUGCCUGCCUGAAAGUAGUAUUGUAACUGGAAAUAUCUCUUCGCCUGCUGCUUGCUGCAUUGUAAAUUAUGGCUGGCUUAUUGA